rnacentral:tRNA from 1 species
CAAACUGUAGCUUAAUAUUAAAGCAUCUCGCUUACACCGAGAAAAUGUCUGUGUAAACCAGAUCACUUUGA